UUAAAAUUCGAUCUAAUUGUCAGCUGUAGGGGAUAGUGAGAUGUUUGCUAUAUGUGACAAAACAUGUUGUAGCCCAAGGAACACGUGACAUCGCUUAGAGCACCUUUAAUUUAACUG